UACGGGAGGCAGCAGCGAGGAAUAUUGGUCAAUGGGCGAGAGCCUGAACCAGCCAAGUAGCGUGCAGGAUGACGGCCCUAUGGGUUGUAAACUGCUUUUAUGCGGGGAUAAAGUUCACUACGUGUAGUGUUUUGUAGGUACCGCAUGAAUAAGGACCGGCUAAUUCCGUGCCAGCAGCCGCGGUAAU
rnacentral:rRNA from 1 species